rnacentral:rRNA from 1 species
CCUACGGGAGGCAGCAGUGAGGAAUAUUGGUCAAUGGCCGGAAGGCUGAACCAGCCAUGCCGCGUGAAGGUCAGUGCCCUAUGGGCGUUAAACUUCUUUUGUGCGGGAGCAAUAAUGGUCACGUGUGGCCAGACGAGAGUACCGUACGAAUAAGCAUCGGCUAACUCCGUGCCAGCAGCCGCGGUAAUACGGGGGAUGCAAGCGUUAUCCGGAUUUAUUGGGUUUAAAGGGUGCGUAGGCUGUGAGGUAAGUCAGCGGUGAAAUGCCCCCGCUCAACGGGGUGAAGUGCCAUUGAUACUGCCUGGCUGGAAUGCGGAUGCCGUGGGAGGAAUGUGUGGUGUAGCGGUGAAAUGCAUAGAUAUCACACAGAACACCGAUUGCGAAGGCAUCUCACGAAUCCGCGAUUGACGCUGAUGCACGAAAGCGUGGGUAUCAAACAGGAUGAGAUACCCCAGUAGUC